rnacentral:rRNA from 1 species
ACACAUGCAAGUCGAACGAAGGCCCGGAGCUUGCUCCGGAUCCCUUAGUGGCGAACGGGUGAGUAACGCGUGGGAAUCUACCUAAGAAUGGGGAAUAACUGUUGGAAACGACAGCUAAUACCGCAUAAUCCCUUCGGGGCAAAGGCUUCGGCCGUUUUUAGAUGAGCCCGCGUUAGAUUAGGCUGUUGGUGAGGUAAUGGCUCACCAAACCUGCAAUCUAUAGCUGGUCUGAGAGGAUGAUCAGCCACACUGGGACUGAGACACGGCCCAGACUCCUACGGGAGGCAGCAGUGGGGAAUAUUGGACAAUGGGGGAAACCCUGAUCCAGCAAUGCCGCGUGAGUGAUGAAGGCCUUAGGGUUGUAAAGCUCUUUCAGAAGUGAAGAUGAUGACGGUAACUUCAGAAGAAGCUCCGGCUAACUCCGUGCCAGCAGCCGCGGUAAUACGGAGGGAGCUAGCGUUGUUCGGAAUUACUGGGCGUAAAGGGCGUGUAGGCUGUAUGAUUAGUCAGUGGUGAAAUCCCUAAGCUCAACUUAGGAACUGCCUUUGAUACUGUUAUACUAGAGAUCGAGAGAAGUUAGCGGAACUCCAAGUGUAGAGGUGAAAUUCGUAGAUAUUUGGAAGAACACCAGUGGCGAAAGCGGCUAACUGGCUCGAUUCUGACGCUGAGACGCGAAAGCGUGGGUAGCAAACAGGAUUAGAUACCCUGGUAGUCCACGCCGUAAACGAUGAGUGCUAGCCGUUUGUGAUUAAUCACAAGUGGUGCAGUUAACACAUUAAGCACUCCGCCUGGGGAGUAC